UUUGACAGUUAAAGUUUGACCUUUUGACAAUCGCAGACAGCAGGUGUUUAUUUGUGGGUUUCUUUCGCCGAAAAUUGCCUGUUUUCACCAUGAAAAGAUGAUAUUUUGAUGAUCCUGGUGUUCUUUCGGUUCAAAGAUGUUCAUUGAAGACCUCAGGAAUGAUUUUUAUAACGUAUUACUUGGAAAUAGGGUUCUUCUGUUAGUGCAUUACGACGUAGACGCGAUAUGUGCGUGUAAGAUUCUCCAGGGAUUGUUUAAAUGUGAUAAUAUAUCGUAUACGUUGGUCCCAGUGGGGGGUGUGUCGGAGUUGAAGACAGCGUAUGAAGAAAACAAUGAGGAGAUCAAAUUCGUGGUGCUGGUGAACUGUGGCGGGACCAUAGACCUGGUGGAUAUCCUGCAGCCCGAGGAGGAUGUAGUAUUUUUUGUGUUGGACUCGCAUAAACCGACAGACAUUUGUAAUGUGUAUAGUGAUGGGCAGGUGAGACUAGUCUAUAAGGAUACUGAAGAAAACAUUCCUAAUUUUGAUGACAUUUUUAGAGAUGAUGAAGAAGAGGAACAGGAGCCCCAAGGCAGCGGCAUGGAAGCCCUGGAGGCAGCCGUGGAGAAGCGCCGCGAGAGGCGCGCGUGGGAGGAGCGCCGGCACACGCUCAUGUUCAACUACACACAGUUCUCCUACUAUGGGAAGCCCAGCGCGUGCGUAGCCCUGGACCUGGCCUGGCUAGUGUCGCGCUGCGGCGGCGCGGUUCUGUGGGCGGCGGCCGUGGGCGCGGCCUCGCACGAGGCGCUGCACGCGCGCCCGCCCGCCCAGGCGCUGCUGGACGCCGCCUCGCUGCACCGGCUCGUGGCGGGCGGGCAGCACGCGGCCGGCGACACCAAUGUGAGUGGCUCGCUGUCUACAUCCUGGCCUGGCUGGCACGCGGCCCGCCCGCCCAGGCGCUGCUGGACGCCGCCUCGCUGCACCGGCUCGUGGCGGGCGGGCAGCACGCGGCCGGCGACACCAAUGUGAGUGGCUCGCUGUCUACAUCCUGGCCUGGCUGGCACGCGGCCCGCCCGCCCAGGCGCUGCUGGACGCCGCCUCGCUGCACCGGCUCGUGGCGGGCGGGCAGCACGCGGCCGGCGACACCAAUGUGAGUGGCUCGCUGUCUACAUCCUGGCCUGGCUGGCACGCGGCCCGCCCGCCCAGGCGCUGCUGGACGCCGCCUCGCUGCACCGGCUCGUGGCGGGCGGGCAGCACGCGGCCGGCGACACCAAUGUGAGUGGCUCGCUGUCUACAUCCUGGCCUGGCUGGCACGCGGCCCGCCCGCCCAGGCGCUGCUGGACGCCGCCUCGCUGCACCGGCUCGUGGCGGGCGGGCAGCACGCGGCCGGCGACACCAAUGUGAGUGGCUCGCUGUCUACAUCCUGGCCUGGCUGGCACGCGGCCCGCCCGCCCAGGCGCUGCUGGACGCCGCCUCGCUGCACCGGCUCGUGGCGGGCGGGCAGCACGCGGCCGGCGACACCAAUGUGAGUGGCUCGCUGUCUACAUCCUGGCCUGGCUGGCACGCGGCCCGCCCGCCCAGGCGCUGCUGGACGCCGCCUCGCUGCACCGGCUCGUGGCGGGCGGGCAGCACGCGGCCGGCGACACCAAUGUGAGUGGCUCGCUGUCUACAUCCUGGCCUGGCUGGCACGCGGCCCGCCCGCCCAGGCGCUGCUGGACGCCGCCUCGCUGCACCGGCUCGUGGCGGGCGGGCAGCACGCGGCCGGCGACACCAAUGUGAGUGGCUCGCUGUCUACAUCCUGGCCUGGCUGGCACGCGGCCCGCCCGCCCAGGCGCUGCUGGACGCCGCCUCGCUGCACCGGCUCGUGGCGGGCGGGCAGCACGCGGCCGGCGACACCAAUUCGUACCGCGUGGUGCUAGAAAAGGACGUGUGGUUGCCGCUAUACCGUUCGUGGUCGGUGGAAGCGGCGCUACGCCACG